UACGAAGGGGGCUAGCGUUGUUCGGAAUCACUGGGCGUAAAGGGCGCGUAGGCGGCUUGAUAAGUCGGGGGUGAAAGCCUGUGGCUCAACCACAGAAUUGCCUUCGAUACUGUCGAGCUUGAGACCGGAAGAGGUAAGUGGAACUGCGAGUGUAGAGGUGAAAUUCGUAGAUAUUCGCAAGAACACCAGUGGCGAAGGCGGCCUUACUGGUCCGGUUCUGGACGCUGAGGCGCGAAAGCGUGGGGAGCAAGCAGG
rnacentral:rRNA from 1 species